rnacentral:rRNA from 1 species
CAAUAGCGUAUAUUAAAGUUGUUGCAGUUAAAACGCUCGUAGUUGGAUUUCUGGUGGGAGCGAUCGGUCUGGCGCUUAGCGCGAGUACUUGCAUCGUCUCCGGCCAUCCUUGGGGAGAGUCUGUCUGGCAUUAAGUUGUCGGGCAGAGGAUCCUCAUCGUUUACUGUGAAAAAAUUAGAGUGUUCAAAGCAGGCUUAUGCCGUUGAAUAUAUUAGCAUGGAAUAAUAAGAUAGGACUUUGGUACUAUUUUGUUGGUUUGCGCACCAAAGUAAUGAUUAAUAGGGACAGUUGGGGGUAUUCGUAUUCCGUUGUCAGAGGUGAAAUUCUUGGAUUUACGGAAGACGAACUACUGCGAAAGCAUUUACCAAGGAUGUUUUCAUUAA